rnacentral:rRNA from 1 species
UAGGGAAUCUUCCACAAUGGACGCAAGUCUGAUGGAGCAACGCCGCGUGAGUGAAGAAGGCUUUCGGGUCGUAAAACUCUGUUAUUGAAGAAGAACGUGCGUGACAGUAACUGGUCAUGCAGUGACGGUAUUCAAUCAGAAAGUCACGGCUAACUACGUGCCAGCAGCCGCGGUAAUACGUAGGUGGCAAGCGUUGUCCGGAUUUAUUGGGCGUAAAGCGAGUGCAGGCGGUCUUUUAAGUCUGAUGUGAAAGCCUUCGGCUUAACCGAAGAAGGGCAUCGGAAACUGGGAGACUUGAGUGCAGAAGAGGAG